CCCUUAGAUGUUCUGGGCCGCACGCGCGCUACACUGAGCCCUUCAUCGAGUUUACAACCUUGGCCGGUAGGUCUGGGUAAUCUUCUCAAAGGGGCUCGUGCUGGGGAUAGAUUAUUGUAAUUUUUAAUCUUCAACGAGGAAUUCCUAGUAAACGCAAGUCAACAGCUUGCAUUGAUUACGUCCCUGCCCUUUGUACACACCGCCCGUCGCUACUACCGAUUGAAUGGCUUAGUGAGCCCGAGGGACUGCUGCACCUAGAGGGUUUUCUCUCCAGGAGCAGCCGGGAACUCGGUCAAACUUGAUCAUUUAGAGGAAGUAAAAGUCGUAACA
rnacentral:rRNA from 1 species